rnacentral:tRNA from 1 species
GGAGUGCUGUGGCUCAGCAAUAGAGCGUCUCUUUGGUAUGCAAAAGGUCCCAGGUUCAAUUCCUGGCAUCUCCA